ACUAUCUCUUAACUUCAUGGAAAUGUCUGUGAGGUCUGCAAGGACUGUGGGUCUUCUCUAAAAAUGUUCUGCAACUUUGGGAAGUCACCUGCUCUCUUGUCUUGGAGGCUACCAAGAGUCCACUCUACAAAGAGGAGGGCAACAUAGAGGAAAAUAUUCUUCAGUGCUUCAAGGGGAAGCCCCAUCCAGCCCCAGCAAGGCCUUUGACUUAUCUCACAGAGACAGGCAAUGAAUAAAGGCAGGCUCCAAGAGUAAGAGAUUCCUCCCAAGCCCAAGUGACUCCUGUAAAUGUAACUGAUUUUAGCAGGACAAAAACAAGCAAUAAUUUUGGCUACCUGCUUGAUCUUAAACACCCA
rnacentral:lncRNA from 1 species